AUUGAACGCUGGCGGCAGGCCUAACACAUGCAAGUCGAACGGUAACAGGGAUCAGCUUGCUGAUUCGCUGACGAGUGGCGGACGGGUGAGUAAUGUCUGGGAAACUGCCUGAUGGAGGGGGAUAACUACUGGAAACGGUAGCUAAUACCGCAUAACGUCGCAAGACCAAAGAGGUGGACCUUCGGGCCUCUUUCCAUCGGUUGUGCCCGGAUGGGACUAGCUAGUAGGUGGGGUAACGGCUCACCUAGACGACGAUCCCUAGCUGGUCUGAGAGGAUGACCAGCCACACGGGAACUGAGACACGCUCCAGACUCCUACGGGAGGCAGCAGUGGCGAAUAUUGCACAAUGGGCGGAAGCCUGAUGCAGCCAUGCCGCGUGUAUGAAGAAGGCCUUCGGGUUGUAAAGUACUUUCAGCGGGGAGGAAGGGAGUAAAGUUAAUACCUUUGCUCAUUGACGUUACCCGAAGAAGAAGCACCGGCUAACUCCGUG
rnacentral:rRNA from 1 species